rnacentral:rRNA from 1 species
AGAGUGAACGCUGGCGGCAGGCCUAACACAUGCAGGUCGAGCGGUAGAGAGGUGCUUGCAUCUCUUGAGAGCGGCGGACGGGUGAGUAAUGCCUAGGAAUCGUGCCUAGUGGUGGGGGUAUAACGUUCGGAAACGGACGCUAAUACCGCAUACGUCCUAACGGGAGAAAGCGGGGACCUUCAGGCCUCGCGCCAUUAGAUGAGCCUAGGUCGGAUUAGCUAGUUGGUGAGGUAAUGGCUCACCAAGGCGACGAUCCGUAACUGGUCUGAGAGGAUGAUCGGGAUCACACUGGAACUGAGACACGGUCCAGACCUCCGUACGGGAGGCAGCGAGUGGGAAUAGUUGGACAAGUGGGACGAAAGCCUGAUCCAGCCAGUGCCGCGUGUGUGAAGUAAGGUCUUCGGAUUUGUAAAGCUAACGUUUAAGGUUGGUAAGGUAAGGUUUACGUAAACCGUAAUACGUUAGACUAACUUCGAACGUUAACCGACUAAGAAUAAGCACCGGCUAACUCGUAGCC